rnacentral:lncRNA from 1 species
GAAGAUGGAGAGGCUGGCAGCAAUAAGGGACCAGCAGUGUCAGACUGCCCAGCAGGCCAGCCAGAGAUGGGGACACAGACUGGUGCAGAUGCAGAUGCAUAUGAGAAGUGUCCUUCUGGGAUUCCCCUGAACAUGUGGAAUCGAGCAGUCCUCAAGUGAGACCCAGUGGAAAGAGCUUACUCAGUAUUUUGGAGCCAAUGAUAGAUUUGAACCCCCAGUUAAACAGAAAAAAGUGGAAAAGUCAGGCCUUGAGAAGAGCAUUGACCAGGCUGUGGAGGAGUGGGAUGUUGAGAAGGCUGAGGAGCUCAGCAACCAGCUAGCUACUCGAGAGGUAAGU